UUAACCGUUACUACAUUCAAGUUAGCAACAAAUUGGGAAAUCGUUAGCGACCAGUUAGUCAAUAAUAUAACCAUUACGAUAAAAACGGUAAGGUAGGCCGGCCCAGGUAAGCACCAGGUAAGCAUUUGCUUACAGGAAGUCGACACUUCUCAACUUAAAUAAAAAAAUUGGCGCUAAAUUGCCAUUUUCCGGUCAACGGCCAAAGCUAAUUAGCAUGCUAGCAUCAGGGCCUGCGUGAAAGCUCCAGCUACUGAGCUAAAACUUGGUUUGACGUCACCAGGUGAGUCUGAUGAGCAGUGAUGCGGCAAAAACGAACAAAGCGAGGUCAGGCUGCAAAAGAUCACCAGCAGAGCAGCAUAUGUCUGGGGCUGACUGGCAAGGAUUCACUGUCUUGCUCAAGGACACUUCAUCAGUCAAAAUACCUGCCAACCUGGAUAUUUGAGUCCAAGUCAUUUGGUUGAAAGUUUGAAGGCAGUUUGAUGCUGCAAGAGGUAUAACAAUCUGGAUCACAGCUCCUACUCAGGAGCUUUUUGACAGUGUUAUUGUAGUGUUAUUGUAGG